CAGUAGCCGCGGUAAUACGGAGGGGGCUAGCGUUGUUCGGAAUUACUGGGCGUAAAGCGUACGUAGGCGGCUUUGUAAGUUAGAGGUGAAAGCCUGGAGCUCAACUCCAGAAUUGCCUUUAAGACUGCAUCGCUUGAACGUCGGAGAGGUGAGUGGAAUUCCGAGUGUAGAGGUGAAAUUCGUAGAUAUUCGGAAGAACACCAGUGGCGAAGGCGGCUCACUGGACGACUGUUGACGCUGAGGUACGAAAGCGUGGGGAGCAAACAGGAUUAGAGACCCCCGUAGUCCCUGUCUCUUAUAC
rnacentral:rRNA from 1 species